rnacentral:rRNA from 1 species
GCGUGGUCGAGCGGAGGAGCGUAGCGAUGUCCCGCGGCCCCACCUAUUCUUCUGGUGGCGCCUGGGGGACCCGUCGGGGUCUAGAAAAAGAGAGAGGGGGAGAGGUGUAGAGGGAGAGGCAGCUAGACCUUGCCCCGGCUUGCGGUGGCAGCGGUACUGGUGCCGUAUCUCCUCCGGUGGAUCGAGGGGGACGGAAGAACAGCUCAGGGAGGCGAGGCGGUAACGGAGGGCGUAGCGGACGAUGGCGACCCAGAUCGGCCCUUGGCGACACGGCUCGCGGUGCUCGAGCAGAAGAAGGAGCUGAGGCUGCUCUAGGAGGCUGCCUACGCGGUGGAGACGACGAGGAUUAGACAGCGGCCGGUAGAACACGGCGAGCUACAGUCUCGGAUCCUAGAUCUGCGGUGGAAACUGCUGCUGACGAUGAUGAUGCUCCCACGGAUGAUGAUGCACUUCUGGCGGCUGCUGGUCCUCAUCAAUCCUCCGAGGGUCCGUCCUCCGGAACGGAAAAGCUAGCAUCUACGAAAACACGAUCGGAAGAAUUCCGUUUUUACAAAUUGAGUACAGACAUGAGUCUAACAACGAAGGCGACUGAGAACACAUUAGCUCGAAUACAUAAGCUCGGGAGCUCCGGGGACCG